rnacentral:rRNA from 1 species
GACAGAGGUGCCAAGCGUUAGGCGGAAUCACUGGGCUUAAAGCGUGUGUAGGCGGAUUGGUAAGUACCUUGUGAAAUCCCACGGCUCAACCGUGGAACUGCUUGGUAUACUGCUUAUCUUGGGCCACUUAGGGGCUACCGGAACAAAUGGUGGAGCGGUGAAAUGCGUAGAUAUCAUUUGGAACGCCAAUGGUGAAAACAGGUAGCUGGGAGUGUGCUGACGCUGAGACACGAAAGCCAGGGGAGCGAACGGG